rnacentral:rRNA from 1 species
UACAGAGGGGGCAAGCGUUAUUCGGAAUUAUUGGGCGUAAAGGGCGCGUAGGCGGCCUGGCAAGUGGAAGGUGAAAUCCCUCGGCUUAACCGAGGAACUGCCCUCCAAACUGCUUGGCUUGAGUCCGGGAGAGGUGAGUGGAACUCCGAGUGUAGAGGUGAAAUUCGUAGAUAUUCGGAAGAACACCAGUGGCGAAGGCGGCUCACUGGCCCGGUACUGACGCUGAGGUGCGAAAGCGUGGGGAGCAAACAGG